UUGGCACAGUCACGUCGUCGCAACCACCAGCGCACGCCAACCGUGCCAGCUGCAGGAGCCAAUUCACAGCUGGCCGUGCUAAAAUAGCCAACACAAGGGCUCUAUGCGAUCAGCAGGGUUGUGGCGCUGUUGGGGGAAACAAGCCCCCCCCACCCCUGCUCGAAGACGCAGCGCGCCGAAGCUGGGCACGCACGCUCCAAGAGCAUGGCAGUGCUUAGGACGGCACCGACCUGGCAUGCAGUCUCCUGUGGGACUUUACGGAGCGACCCCAUCAUUUCAUGGUGGAAUAUUGAGCAUAAAGGCUUCUUGCAUGUGUCUAUCCAACUGACAAAACCCUGUAAAAGUUUAUCAUGGUUGAUCCUAAUGGCAUGAUCCUCAAUACAUUGAUCCUGUGGUACAUGAUCCUUGCUGUUUUAAUUCAGUACAAAGAUCCUGGAUAAAACAAAUAUUGUGAUGAAAAAUGACUUAUGAUUGUUUAUCUAAUAAAAUUAAAAUUAAAAAAUUAUUUUUUUUUUUACUUCCUUACAUUGUUUGCAUUGUAAUAUUUUUAUUUUCAGGAUCUUUUGACGUAUUAAAUUAAAACAGAAAGCAUGAUGUACCACAAGAUCAUCUGUACAGGAUCAUGCCAUCAUAAUCAAGGGAUAAACUUGGAUAAGUGAUACGGAACUUUUACCCAAAACUCGGUAUCAACAUUUUCAUUCAUUAAAAAUGCCAGUGUAAAAACGUCUUGCUGUCCAAAAACUACACAUUAAAAACCAAACCAUGAAAUGAAAAUACAAUAGGAAAUUGAAUAGUUCUUAAAUGCUAAUAGUAAUCAGACACAUUUAAUAAAUGUUGAACAGUUUAUAAUUAGCUAACACCUCAAGUUCUGCAUGCAAUUUGUUAGCCACCUUAACCAGAAGCAAGUUGCACGAGUGAACAUCCACGAAAACGAUGGGAUACAACAUAGGUUUAGGUGAAACAAAAACAAACCUUCCUAAUAGGCUCAGUUACUUAACAUUUAGGGACAGAAGAAAAGUGUUCAGUGUAUUUCAAUGUGCACCUAUAAAUGUAGCAUUACUCAUAUUACAUUAGAUACUGAAUUGCACAUGUGCACCAUUUGAAUGUUCUUGCUUUUUUUGUUUUUGUGUGCACAUGGCAAAGAAGUGUCUACCAUUGCAUCUGUUGCGUGAACAAUUAAAUCUUUGUUUUCACAUGUUUAGUACAGUUGCCACACAAAGGCACAUGCAAAUUUUUGCUGCACCAUUAGGCUGACUGGUAAUAAAUCUCAUCAAGUUAGCAACAAAUUUGAGAAGCACGCUUCAGAACCCAAUGACUUUUAAUAAGUGGCCACAGUAAUUUUUUUUUUUUUGAUUUCGCAAAUGCAAAAGUGAAAGCUGCAAAAGAUUUGAGUUUGUGACACGAUCUGAGCCUGGCUACUAGCCACUGGUUCAUGUGAACGGCACUGCUGGCAAUUGGCUACGGAACACACAAUGAGCAUGAAAGAAGCUACGCGUGGCUUUCAAACAUUCAACCAUCCGCCAGUCGCAAUGAACUGCGUCAUCACACUCACCCAGGCAUUGGUCACUUCUCCUAAGACCAACGGCAGGCCUCGAAACUGCAACAAACAGCAGAAAUUCAAAUUUAAUUUGAUGCCACACUCAAAAUGAGUAAUGAUACAUCAUGGUCCGCACCCUUUCAUCCAAUAAAAAAUAAAUGACUUUUUAA